rnacentral:rRNA from 1 species
CAAUAGCGUAUAUUAAAGUUGUUGCAGUUAAAAAGCUCGUAGUUGGACCUUGGACCUGGACAGGCGGUCCGCCUCACGGCGUGUACUGUCUUGCUGGGUCUUUCCUCUUGGUGAUCUGUUGUUUCGGCAGCAGGGAACCAGGACUUUUACUUUGAAAAAAUUAGAGUGUUCAAAGCAGGCUCGACGCCGGAAUAUAUUAGCAUGGAAUAAUAAAAUAGGACGUGCGGUUCUAUUUUGUUGGUUUUUGGAAUCGCCGUAAUGAUUAAUAGGGACAGUCGGGGGCAUUAGUACUCACAUGCUAGAGGUGAAAUUCUUGGAUUUUGUGAAGACUAACUUCUGUGAAAGCAUUUGCCAAGGAUGUUUUCAUUAA